AUGUAAUGGAGCACGGCAUGGGGCAGUAAUGACACUAAAUCAACUGAUGCUCAAAGAGACACAUGUUGACACCUCGCGUGGGAAAGGCACAGGUGCGAAUGAUUAGAUUGACGACGUCACCAAUCUGUGCCUGAAACGGUCCGUGUCUGUUGCACACGUUACUAACUGACACGAGCCACAAGCGCAGCGGAACCAUCCAGAACAUCGCAAACCAACGUUAGUUAAAAGAAUAAUCUCUGCUCAGCAGCAGAAGGAGCAUUGUUGUUUCUAAAUUGCCUUUGACGAAUGCAGGAACCUCUUCUAAUCAGUGAUUGUGGAGAAAAACUGGACGAUGACCUGGGAGUGGACGGCUUUAAACCUUCCUCGCCAGUCUUACAAACCGAUAAGACUCAUGGAGAACAGCAAACUGCAAAGGAAGAACGUUCUGGACCCACCCGCUCAGAUCGAGAGAAGCAAGCCAACUAAAAUAAUCUCCACGACGACCGUUGAUGGGCUGCAGCUUCGAGCUGGCAGGAAGGAAAGGGACGCGAUGGCACAGAGAGUACUGGACACGUCGGUAGCGAUUACACAUCGGUCCACAAAGGGUCAGGGGUCGGGACUGAGCGUGCGCCC